rnacentral:rRNA from 1 species
ACGCCGCGUGAGUGAUGAAGGUUUUCGGAUCGUAAAACUCUGUUGUUAGGGAAGAACAAGUACCGGAGUAACUGCCGGUACCUUGACGGUACCUAACCAGAAAGCCACGGCUAACUACGUGCCAGCAGCCGCGGUAAUACGUAGGUGGCAAGCGUUGUCCGGAAUUAUUGGGCGUAAAGCGCGCGCAGGCGGUUCCUUAAGUCUGAUGUGAAAGCCCACGGCUCAACCGUGGAGGGUCAUUGGAAACUGGGGAACUUGAGUGCAGAAGAGGAAAGUGGAAUUCCAAGUGUAGCGGUGAAAUGCGUAGAGAUUUGGAGGAACACCAGUGGCGAAGGCGACUUUCUGGUCUGUAACUGACGCUGAGGCGCGAAAGCGUGGGGAGCAAACAGGAUUAGAUACCCUGGUAGUCCACGCCGUAAACGAUGAGUGCUAAGUGUUAGAGGGUUUCCGCCCUUUAGUGCUGCAGCAAACGCAUUAAGCAC